rnacentral:rRNA from 1 species
UGGGGGAUAUUGGACAAUGGGGGGAACCCUGAUCCAGCGACGCCGCGUGAGGGAAGAAGGUUUUCGGAUUGUAAACCUCUGUCGACAGGGAAAAUGAUGAUGGUACCUGUGGAGGAAGCCACGGCUAACUACGUGCCAGCAGCCGCGGUAAUACGUAGGUGGCAAGCGUUGUCCGGAAUUACUGGGUGUAAAGGGAGCGUAGGCGGGACGGUAAGUCAGAAGUGAAAAUUAUGGGCUCAACUCAUAACCUGCUUUUGAAACUGCUGUUCUUGAGUGAAGUAGAGGCAAGCGGAAUUCCUAGUGUAGCGGUGAAAUGCGUAGAUAUUAGGAGGAACACCAGUGGCGAAGGCGGCUUGCUGGGCUUUUACUGACGCUGAGGCUCGAAAGCGUGGGGAGCAAACAGG